rnacentral:rRNA from 1 species
UACAGAGGGUGCUAGCGUUGUUCGGAAUCAUUGGGCGUAAAGGGCGUGUAGGCGGUUUGUUAAGUCAUGUGUGAAAGCCCCCGGCUCAACCGGGGAACGACGCAUGAAACUGGCAAGCUAGAGUACCGAAGAGGGGGGUGGAAUUCCCGGUGUAGCGGUGAAAUGCGCAGAUAUCGGGAGGAACACCGGUGGCGAAGGCGGUUCUCUGGGCCUUACCUGACGCUGAGGAGCGAAAGCGUGGGGAGCGAACAGG